rnacentral:rRNA from 1 species
GAUGAACGCUAGCGGCAGGCCUAACACAUGCAAGUCGAGGGAGAAGCCCUUUCGGGGGCAGAAACCGGCGCACGGGUGCGUAACGCGUAUGCAACCUACCUUUCACAGGGGGAUAGCCCGAAGAAAUUUGGAUUAAUACCCCAUAAUAUUAUUGGAUGGCAUCAUUUGAUAAUUAAAACUGCGGUGGUGAAAGAUGGGCAUGCGUCCUAUUAGCUAGUUGGAGUGGUAACGGCACCCCAAGGCUACGAUAGGUAGGGGUCCUGAGAGGGAGAUCCGCCACACUGGUACUGAGACAGGGACCAGACUCCUACGGGAGGCAGCAGUGAGGAAUAUUGGUCAAUGGUCGGAAGACUGAACCAGCCAUGCCGCGUGCAGGAAGAAUGCCUUAUGGGUUGUAAACUGCUUUUAUAUGGGAAGAAUAAGGCGUACGUGUACGUUGAUGACGGUACCAUAUGAAUAAGCAUCGGCUAACUCCGUG